GCUUCCGGCUCCAAAAAGCUCGUCAGGCGUGGCGACAGUGCUACUGUAAUUGGACUUGAUCGGUUGUUCGAAGCUUUUGAAGGAAGAUGGAGAUGGAAAGAGGCCAAGCAGUGAUGCCAUUGGCGACCCUUCUCAGACCUCCUGACCUACGUCUGAUGUUACAUCUACUGGUUGAGCACAAGGCUGAACAUGAAUUCAAACUUCACUGCUCAGACCUCCCAGAUGGCACUUGAAUGCUGAAGUAUAAAUUCGACCGAGUGUAAGAAAAUGAGGAUUCUCCAGGAUCGAGGGAGUUCAUCUGCUAUGCUCCUAGGCUUGCAGGGCCAGACCUCAAGACGAUAAGGUGACUUGGAGGUCUGGGAAGGUUUCAUCUGAAUUCUUUUGUCAUUUCCUCUUCGCUGAAUUCCAUCAGCAGCAUUUUGUUUGGCUGCACUGUCUGUCAGUCCACUGGCACUUUGGGAUAUUAAACAGGCCCUGGUUAAGUGUGGUUAUCCUAACUCGGCGUUUGUCAAAGCCAGGAAGACGUCCAAACAGCGCACCAGCCAACCGAAGAGAGGAGAAGGAUAACAGCUGUCUAAGCGUAAACCAGUGGUGAUUCUGAAUGUGGUGGGAGUGUCAGAAAAGUUGAGGUGUAUUUUCCAAACAUCGUGUCUCAGUUGCUUUGAAACCCCAAAACACGGUGCACCAGAAAUUGGUCCACCCCAAGGAUCGGGUCCCCCGGCACAAACGGAGAAAUAUGGUGUACGCUGUUGAAUGCCGGGAGGAUUGCCGUGACUUAUACAUUGGGGAAACCAAGCAGACGCUAGCCAACAGAAUGGCACAACACAGGAGAGCUAAUGCGUCAGGCCAGGACUCUGCAGUCUACACCCAUCUACAGGCCAGUGGCCAGUCUUUAAAGGAUGAGGAUGUGCACAUCAUUGAUGGGGAACGCUGGUUUGAACAGGAAACGUGUUUCAUCACUGUACAGUCAUAUUGAGUUUACAGCUCAAACACGUUUAAUAAAAGAUAGCAAUGUG